CUUCAUGAACCCUGUGGCACCGGUAACAAAGAUGUAUUCCAAUGCCAUAGUAAUAAGUAGAUGAUCUCAACAAGAAAGAUUUUCUUUUGAAUUAAAUGGAUGGAAGAACAAAGCAAUCGGAAUAUAUGAAGAAGAAAAGGUUCACAUAAUUGAUAGAACAGCACAAUCCAGAAAGCGAAAAAAAAGAAGGGAAAAUCAAGUGGAGGUCAUGAAGGUUCUGCUCUCGAUCAUACGGGGGCAUCAAUUUUGGAUAUUCCGUAAUGUUCAGUUCUUGCACGUUUCUUUUUAGUGCAUAUUGCAUAAUCAAGCAGCGGCAACAAUCGUUGUCGAUUAUGGAGAUGGUGUGUUAGUCCGAGUUCAGGCUGUUGAUAUUUUUGGACAUCGGAUAAAGUAAAUUAAGGUAUGAUUAAAUAGGAGUUACAGAAAAUUUGAAAAUUGGGUUAUUUUUUGGGAUAUAGUUAUGCUGGAUAAGCUAAUUGAUAAUCUAUGCAUUAGGUAGUUCAUGUUGCUUCUUCGCAAUAGUAAAGGGGUUUUUUAAAUCACAUUAUGACUAAGUAUGCUAUGAUUUUGAUAGUCCAGAUUACGAAAGAGGAUCCUCUUUAUUGGCGUGCAAGACUAAUUUUAUGUUUCUCUUUAGAUCGAGUAACCUCUCCGUGGAUUUUGUUGCAUAUAUACACAAGAUAGGUCACGCACAAUUAUUCAGAUAUCAAGGCUUUUUCUUUGGAGGAAAGGAUUACGCGGGGAAGGAAAAUUUACGAAAACUACAUAAGCACCAAACCAUGAGCCUCAUUUUCAGUUGCAACCCCUUUUUGGGCAAACUUUCUUUACAAAUAUCACAAUAUGAAGGAGGAUGUGGAGCAACGGCAACCAACUUUACUAAUUUUCAAAUUUGUUGGCAAUAUUAUGCGCCACCAUCACAUUUUUGUUGGUAUGUCGUGAACAAGGUACGAAUCCAACAAAUUUUAGUCAUGGGAUUAGCUUCGGAACAGUAUCUCAUUUUGUUUCUUAGUAUUUCUUACGGAGUUACUAACACCUCUGUGUCUUUAGUAUAUAUGUAAAACCUAAGUUGGAUUCCGAAAUUUCGUCGCGUACGAAAUAAGUUUAUGGUUAUACCAUAUAAUUUUUUGGAAAGGUGAUAUAGAUGUGAUUAAUUGUGAUA